rnacentral:rRNA from 1 species
UACGGGGGGUGCAAGCGUUUUUCGGGAUUACUGGGCGUAAAGGGCGCGUAGGCGGAUGAAUUCGUCAGAUGUGAAAGCCCGUGGCUUAACCGUGGAAGUGCAUUUGAUACUAUGUGGCUUGAGUAUGGGAGAGGGGAGUGGAAUUCCUGGUGUAGAGGUGAAAUUCGCAGAUACCAGGAGGAACACCGGUGGCGAAGGCGGCUCCCUGGCUCAAUAGUGACGCUGAGGCGCGAAAGCGUGGGGAGCAAACCGG